rnacentral:rRNA from 1 species
GAUCGACGCUGAUGCACGAAAGCGUGGGGAUCAAACAGGAUUAGAUACCCUGGUAGUCCACGCCGUAAACGAUGAUCACUGGAUGCCGGCGACACGCAGUCGGUGUCUGAGCGAAAGCAUUAAGUGAUCCACCUGGGGAGUACGAUCGCAAGGUUGAAACUCAAAGGAAUUGACGGGGGCCCGCACAAGCGGAGGAACAUGUGGUUUAAUUCGAUGAUACGCGAGGAACCUUACCUGGGCUCGAACGCCGAUAGACGCGGACCGAAAGGUUCGUUCCAGCGAUGGCUGUCGGCGAGGUGCUGCAUGGUUGUCGUCAGCUCGUGCCGUGAGGUGUCGGGUUAAGUCCCAUAACGAGCGCAACCCCUACUGCUAGUUGCCAGCGCGUAAAGGCGGGGACUCUAGCGGAACUGCCGGCGUAAGCCGUGAGGAAGGUGGGGGUGACGUCAAAUCAGCACGGCCCUUACGUCCAGGGCUACACACGUGUUACAAUGGCCGGUACAGAGGGCAGCCACCCCGCGGGGGGGCGCGAAUCCUUAAAGCCGGUCCCAGUUCGGAUCGGAGUCUGCAACCCGACUCCGUGAAGCUGGAUUCGCUAGUAAUCGCGCAUCAGCCACGGCGCGGUGAAUACGUUCCCGGGCCUUGUACACACCGCCCGUCAAGCCAUGGAAGCUGGGGGUACCUGAAGUCCGUAACCGAGAGGAGCGGCCUAGGGUAAAACCGGUGGCUGGGGCUAAGUCGUAACAAGGUAACC